GGGAAUGGAUGGGGCCCGGUGGCUCUGACGGUCUUCAAAACCGGUUCGGGGCGCCACAAGCGUCCCGGGUGGGUUCGACUCCCACACGUUCCCGCCA
rnacentral:tRNA from 1 species